rnacentral:rRNA from 1 species
UACGGAGGGUGCAAGCGUUGUCCGGAUUUAUUGGGUUUAAAGGGUGCGUAGGCGCCCGUUAAGUCAGUGGUGAAAGCCUCCAGCUCAACUGGAGAACUGCCAUUGAUACUGACGGGCCUGAGUACAGACGAGGUUGGCGGAAUUGAUUGUGUAGCGGUGAAAUGCAUAGAUACAAUCAAGAACUCCGAUUGCGUAGGCAGCUAACUAGGCUGUAACUGACGCUGAGGCACGAAAGCGUGGGGAGCGAACAGG